GUAGGUGGCAAGCGUUGUCCGGAAUUAUUGGGCGUAAAGCGCGCGCAGGCGGUUCUUUAAGUCUGAUGUGAAAGCCCACGGCUCAACCGUGGAGGGUCAUUGGAAACUGGAGAACUUGAGUACAGAAGAGGAAAGCGGAAUUCCACGUGUAGCGGUGAAAUGCGUAGAGAUGUGGAGGAACACCAGUGGCGAAGGCGGCUUUCUGGUCUGUAACUGACGCUGAGGCGCGAAAGCGUGGGGGAGCAAACAGGAUUAGAUACCCUGGUAGUCCACGCCGUAAACGAUGAUGCUAAGUGUUAGGGGGUUUCCGCCCUUAGUGCUGCAGCUAACGCAUUAAGCACUCCGCCUGGGAGUACGGCGCAAGGCUG
rnacentral:rRNA from 1 species